GUAUUCAGGUAACCGCUGCACGAUCUUCGUGUAGAGGAAAGUCCAUGCUCGCACGAACUGAGAUGUUCGUAGUGAUCGUGCCUAGCCAAUUCAUAAGCUAGGGUAGUCUGGUUGAGACUGGGCUAACGGCAAGGGAAGCACCUAAGUCUUUAGAUAUGGUGUGAUACCUUUGAAAGUGCCACAGUGACGAAGUCUAAUCGGAAACGAUUAGAGUGGAACGAGGUAAACCCCACGAGCGAGAAACCCAAAAUAUGGUAGGGGAAUCUUCUUAUAAACUGGAAAUGAACAGUAUAGAAGGACAAGGAAUACCUUGUAGAUAGAUGGUUACCACCGGAGUACGAGGUUCAUCACCGUUUGCAGUACAAAGGAACAGAACAUGGCUUAUCGAA
rnacentral:RNase_P_RNA from 2 species